AUUGAACGCUGGCGGCAGGCCUAACACAUGCAAGUCGAGCGGAUGUAGGGAGCUUGCUCCUGGAUUCGGCGGCGGACGGGUGAGUAAUGCCUAGGAAUCUGCCUGGUAGUGGGGGAUAACGUCCGGAAACGGGCGCUAAUACCGCAUACGUCCUGAGGGAGAAAGUGGGGGAUCUUCGGACCUCACGCUAUCAGAUGAGCCUAGGUCGGAUUAGCUAGUUGGUGGGGUAAAGGCCUACCAAGGCGACGAUCCGUAACUGGUCUGAGAGGAUGAUCAGUCACACUGGAACUGAGACACGGUCCAGACUCCUACGGGAGGCAGCAGUGGGGAAUAUUGGACAAUGGGCGAAAGCCUGAUCCAGCCAUGCCGCGUGUGUGAAGAAGGUCUUCGGAUUGUAAAGCACUUUAAGUUGGGAGGAAGGGCAGUAAGUUAAUACCUUGCUGUUUUGACGUUACCAACAGAAUAAGCACCGGCUAACUUCGUG
rnacentral:rRNA from 1 species